CAGUCGCCGCGGGAAUACAGAGGGUGCGAGCGUUAAUCGGAUUUACUGGGCGUAAAGCGUGCGUAGGCGGCUUCUUAAGUCGGAUGCGAAAUCCCUGAGCUUAACUUAGGAAUUGCAUUCGAUACUGGGAAGCUAGAGUAUGGGAGAGGAUGGUAGAAUUCCAGGUGUAGCGGUGAAAUGCGUAGAGAUCUGGAGGAAUACCGAUGGCGAAGGCAGCCAUCUGGCCUAAUACUGACGCUGAGGUACGAAAGCAUGGGGAGCAAACAGGAUUAGAUACCCGAGUAGUCCCUGUCUCUUAUAU
rnacentral:rRNA from 1 species